AGUUUGAUCAUGGCUCAGGGCGAACGCUGGCGGCGUGCUUAACACAUGCAAGUCGAACGAUGAAGCCUAGCUUUGCUAGGUGGAUUAGUCGGCGAACGGGUGAGUAAUACGUGAGUCGACCUACCUUUGACUCUGGGAUAAGCCUGGGAAACUGGGUCUAAUACCGGAUACGACCAAUCUCCGCAUGGGGUGUUGGUGGAAAGCGUUAUGGAGUGGUUUUAGAUGGGCUCACGGCCUAUCAGCUUGUUGGUGAGGUAAUGGCUUACCAAGGCGACGACGGGUAGCCCGGCCUGAGAGGGUGACCGGCCACACUGGGACUGAGACACGGCCCAGACUCCUACGGGAGGCAGCAGUGGGGAAUAUUGCACAAUGGGCGCAAGCCUGAUGCAGCGACGCCGCGUGAGGGAUGACGGCCUUCGGGUUGUAAACCUCUGUUAGCAUCGAAAGAAGCGAAAGUGACGGUAGGUGCAGAGAAAGCGCCGGCUAACUACGUGCCAGCAGCCGCGGUAAUACGUAGGGCGCGAGCGUUGUCCGGAAUUAUUGGGCGUAAAGAGCUUGUAGGCGGUUGGUCGCGUCUGCUGUGAAAGGCUGGGGCUUAACCCUGGUUUUGCAGUGGGUACGGGCUAACUAGAGUGCAGUAGGGGAGACUGGAAUUCCUGGUGUAGCGGUGGAAUGCGCAGAUAUCAGGAGGAACACCGGUGGCGAAGGCAGGUCUCUGGGCUGUAACUGACGCUGAGAAGCGAAAGCAUGGGGAGCGAACAGGAUUAGAUACCCUGGUAGUCCAUGCCGUAAACGUUGGGCACUAGGUGUGGGGGACAUUCCACGUUUUCCGCGCCGUAGCUAACGCAUUAAGUGCCCCGCCUGGGGAGUACGGCCGCAAGGCUAAAACUCAAAGAAAUUGACGGGGGCCCGCACAAGCGGCGGAGCAUGCGGAUUAAUUCGAUGCAACGCGAAGAACCUUACCAAGGCUUGACAUAUACUGGACUGCGUCAGAGAUGGCGUUUCCCUUCGGGGCUGGUAUACAGGUGGUGCAUGGUUGUCGUCAGCUCGUGUCGUGAGAUGUUGGGUUAAGUCCCGCAACGAGCGCAACCCUCGUUCUAUGUUGCCAGCACGUGAUGGUGGGGACUCAUAGGAGACUGCCGGGGUCAACUCGGAGGAAGGUGGGGAUGACGUCAAAUCAUCAUGCCCCUUAUGUCUUGGGCUUCACGCAUGCUACAAUGGCCGGUACAGAGGGUUGCGAUACUGUGAGGUGGAGCUAAUCCCUAAAAGCCGGUCUCAGUUCGGAUUGGGGUCUGCAACUCGACCCCAUGAAGUCGGAGUCGCUAGUAAUCGCAGUAUCAGCAACGCUGCGGUAAAUACGUUCCCGGGCCUUGCUCUCACCGCCCGUCA
rnacentral:rRNA from 1 species